UGUCCUUGUUUAUUGCAGAAGGUAUCCCCAACGAGGAGAAGCGUUUUUUAAAAAUAUGCCAGUUUAUUGCCAUUAGAAGAGUUAUCUUAAUGAGAAUAUUUUCUAACGCCGCAUAAAGAAGCUUUGAAGUCUAUUGGUUGCAAGUGGGAGGGGAAGAACUCCAUUGUACCCCUGCAGCAUUAUUCACUCACAUAUGCUUAUCAACUUCCUUUUGAUUCUAGAUUACAUUUACUGUGUACUAAACUGUAAUUUACAGCUUCCGGUUAAUGUAACCACACCAUCUUUAAGGUAUUGGGAGAAACUGGAGCGCCCUCGUGAUCAGAGAGACUUCAAUCCAAAUAGCGAGAUGGCAGCAAAUGAAGACGUUAAUAUUUUGGAGCAAAAACUGUGCACUGCAUCUCCUCCCAUCCACGUCCUGGCAACCUAAAAAAAGACAGGUCCAGUUUGUGAUGAAUUCAAGGGAUAUGUGAACACUUCAAGACUGGCAUUGCCAGACAAGUGUCGGCCUUCCUUACAUCAAUUCAAAAGAAAAUAAAGAGAAUUCCAACCUGGAUAGUAUAUUAUUUGAAAAUUAUGUGUUGACUUACAGAAUGGAAGGAAUAUUAAUUAAAAACUGUUUUUAGUAAAUGUAUUGAUUAUUGAUUGGGGAGCGGAGGAAUAGAUAGAUAGAUACUUUAUUCAUCCCCAAGGGGAAAUUCAACAUUUUUCCAGUGUCCCAUACACUUAUUGUAGCAAAACUAAUUACAUAAGUAUUUAACUCAAUAUAAAUAUGAUAUGCAUCUAA